UACAGAGGGGGCAAGCGUUGUUCGGAAUUACUGGGCGUAAAGGGCGCGUAGGCGGCCUGCUAAGUCGAACGUGAAAUCCCCGGGCUCAACCCGGGAACUGCGUCCGAUACUGACAGGCUUGAAUCCGGGAGAGGGAUGUGGAAUUCCAGGUGUAGCGGUGAAAUGCGUAGAUAUCUGGAGGAACACCGGUGGCGAAGGCGGCAUCCUGGACCGGUAUUGACGCUGAUGCGCGAAAGCCAGGGGAGCAAACAGG
rnacentral:rRNA from 1 species